rnacentral:tRNA from 1 species
GCCUUCGUGGUGUAAUGGUCAGUACACUUAGCGCGUAUUCUAGAGGUCCGAGGUUCGAGUCCCGGCGAGGGCU